rnacentral:rRNA from 1 species
GAUGAGUACUAGGUGUCGGGGGUUACCCCCGUCGGGGCCGCAGCUAACGCAUUAAGUACGCAGCCUGGGAAGUACGCACGCAAGCGGGAAACUCAAAGGAAUGGAAGGGGACCCGCACAAGUAGCGGGGCAUGUGGUUUAAUUCGAAGCAACGCGAAGAACCUUACCUAAGCUUGACAUCCCAAUGACAUCUCCUUAAUCGG